GACGAACGCUGGCGGCAGGCUUAACACAUGCAAGUCGAGCGGAUGUAGCAAUACAUCAGCGGCAGACGGGAGAGUAACACGUGGGAACGUACCCUUCAGUUCGGAACAACCCAGGGAAACUUGGGCUAAUACCGGAUACGUCCGUAAGGAGAAAGAUUUAUCGCUGAAGGAUCGGCCCGCGUCUGAUUAGCUAGUUGGUGAGGUAACGGCUCACCAAGGCGACGAUCAGAUCCGGCCUGAGAGGGCGGACGGACACACUGGGACUGAGACACGGCCCAGACUCCUACGGGAGGCAGCAGUGGGGAAUUGUUCGCAAUGGGCGCAAGCCUGACGACGCAACGCCGCGUGGAGGACGAAGAUCUUCGGGUCGUAAACUCCUGUCGAGUGGGAAGAACGGACUGAGGUUGAAUAUGCCUCGGUAUUGACGGUACCACUAAAGGAAGCCCCGGCUAACUCCGUGCCAGCAGCCGCCGUAAC
rnacentral:rRNA from 1 species